CAACAGCGUAGACGCAGAGCAAACCGUGUGGCCUGUGUUCGUGAGGUGGUCAAGGUUGAGGCUCCAGGUUGAGACUUGUGCUGAGUUUUUCCUGGUCUUUCUCCUGCAAUACACCGUACUAAGCCAGACAGCUCGGCGGUCGUUACAGUCGGCAGUUGGCAUCAUGGAGGACCGAGGAGGGAGAGAAAGAUGGGAGAGCGAGCAGCGACUGUGCUAUCAGUAUCAGCUGAGCUAUCAGCUGAUCCCAGACCGAGCAGACAGGCAGGCGGUAGCCAUUUAGCCAGUCCCCGUAGAGAUGACCUGUGUAUCCCUGCCUUUCUCGCCGUCUCAGCUGUCAUGCAGCCUCCUGACUCGCCACACAGAGACAUCAGGUUUCAGUCAUGAAGUUCGUGGUGGAGCAUGUGAGUAAGGAUUGAGGACAGCCAGGCAGGCUGGGUGGUCUUUGCAGCCAUCCUGAUAGUAUCCACACCACUCCACUCUUCCUUAUUUCCACCAAGGGAGGCAGUGCACCUCAUCUCAUGCAAAAAAUGACGUUGCACAGCUGAUCGGGGGACAAGAAGACCGAGGAGGAAUGUAGCACGCUGUAUCCAGAGGAUGUGCUGCUCCAGUGACGUGGCUUUGAGGGAAGCGCCUCUCUGUAUCCUUGCCCAGCUCUUUAUGGAACACAUGAAGGUGCUCCAAGUUCCAAGAAGGGAGUGGUACACACACUGCUGCACUCCAAGCUUUUGGAGGUCCAGCAGCACACUGCUUUCAUAAAUUUGUGUGUAGAGUGCAAUACAGAGAGUGGCAAGGAUGGAGGAUGCUUCAACAUUCACAGCAUCAGUGGUUCAUGUGUGUGUGUGUGUGUGUGUGUGUGUGGAAGGUAGUGAACACAGUUUUAUCUGAAAGAUUGUCAUCAUUUACAUUAAUAGAUU
rnacentral:lncRNA from 1 species